UACAGAGGUCUCAAGCGUUGUUCGGAUUCAUUGGGCGUAAAGGGUGUGUAGGUGGCGCGCUAAGUCGGGUGUGAAAUUUCGGAGCUUAACUCCGAAACUGCAUUUGAUACUGGCGUGCUUGAGGACUGGAGAGGAGACUGGAAUUUACGGUGUAGCGGUGAAAUGCGUAGAUAUCGUAAGGAAGACCAGUGGCGAAGGCGGGUCUCUGGACAGUUCCUGACGCUGAGGCACGAAGGUCAGGGGAGCAAACGGG
rnacentral:rRNA from 1 species